rnacentral:rRNA from 1 species
UACGUAGGGUGCAAGCGUUGUCCGGAAUUAUUGGGCGUAAAGAGCUCGUAGGCGGUCUGUCGCGUCGGCUGUGAAAUCCCGGAGCUCAACUCCGGGCCUGCAGUCGAUACGGGCAGACUGGAGUUCGGCAGGGGAGACUGGAAUUCCUGGUGUAGCGGUGAAAUGCGCAGAUAUCAGGAGGAACACCGAUGGCGAAGGCAGAUCUCUGGGCCGUAACUGACGCUGAGGAGCGAAAGCAUGGGGAGCGAACAGG